GAGGGACCAGGACACAUUCAUCUGAAAAAGCAGCAAUAUGUCACCAGCCUACUCACCAGCCUCAGUUGCCAUCCAUCCUCAGUUUCAACUAGCCUCAGCCUCAGCCUCCAGCUUCCAUGGUCUCACCAUCAGUAGUCAAGCAGUGAAACUGAAAUUCCUCCUUCACCGUCAGCGUCCACAUCAACCUGGUGUGGCUACCUUCUCCAACACCUGCCAAUUACACCGCCUCAUGUGUAGGAAUUGACACCCUCUGUUAUACUCCAUAGCCAUGUAUCCUAUCACUGAGAUAUACAAAGUGGUUCUGAAAUCAACUCAUAUCCAGCAUGAUACAAAGAUUACAACUUUGCAUGCUUGUGUUAUCAGGAUCUUGUUUUGUGUGUGACGAUCGUCCACUUCAAAGUCUCUGAUGGUGUCCAUGUGUACCUCCUGAUGACUCGGCAGCUCCGAGGUGUUGAUGGGUGUUUUAUGUUUUAUGGCUCAUACUCCGACUUGAAACACCCACUAACACCUUCUAGUUGAACGAUGACCCGGUUGUAUUCAAAAGCAUCUUAUCAGGUAGUUUUUGGAGAGUGUCUUUUGUCAGGGAAUUGUUUGAAUGACUUUGAAACAGGAAAUCCUUUCUCGUUGAGCGUGUCAGAUCUCACUAGUAUGUCUGAAGAAGUAUCAACAUUACAUUUGGUUGGUUACACUCAACAAAAUAUUUCAGUUAGUAUUCUUGAUACUCGGAGUUAAAGGUGGAUAUUCCUCAUCAUGUACGGUGCUGUGGUAGGAUGUUGGCAGUAUCAGUCUACCACUAGGAUGGAUGUUGAACAGAGCUAAGUGACAAGGUGGUCUCGCCUCAGCUGUAGACUGCUGCCGUCUACCACACCGACCUGCCUCACCUGUCUGCCACACCCGUCUACCACACCCGUCUUCCACACCCAUCUACCACACCUGUCUCAUCUCUAGUCCAUGGUGAGUAUAUGAACGCUCGGUCGCUGUAGUUAGCUGGUUACUUUAUAUGCACAAUGAAGACUGGAAACAUCUAGAGAUGCCACUAUAUUGCACCUAUAGCCUUAGACAAAUAAUAAUAUCAACAUU